AGAGUUUGAUCCUGGCUCAGGACGAACGCUGGCGGCGCGCCUAACACAUGCAAGUCGAACGAGAGGAUGAGGAGCUUGCUCUUCAAAUCGAGUGGCGAACGGGUGAGUAACGCGUGAGGAACCUGCCUCAAAGAGGGGGACAACAGUUGGAAACGACUGCUAAUACCGCAUAAGCCCACGGCUCGGCAUCGAGCAGGGGGAAAAGGAGCAAUCCGCUUUGAGAUGGCCUCGGCGUCCGAUUAGCUAGUUGGUGAGGUAACGGCCCACCAAGGCGACGAUCGGUAGCCGGACUGAGAGGUUGAACGGCCACAUUGGGACUGAGACACGGCCCAGACUCCUACGGGAGGCAGCA
rnacentral:rRNA from 1 species